rnacentral:rRNA from 1 species
ACUUUCAACAACGGAUAUCUUGGUUCUCGCGACGAUGAAGAACGCAGCAAAGCGCGAUAGCUAGUGCAAAGUGCAAGGCCCAGUGAGUCAUCGAGAUUUUGAACGCAAAUGGCGGCUAGGCGUGAGAGUCUAGCCAUGUGUGGUCGAGUGACGGAGAUUUUUUGCCCCCAGUAGUGGAUGGGUGAGGUGCCGUGUCUGCUUUUCUUUUUUGUGAGCGGACUGGCGUUGAGGGAGAUUGAGAGUUGUGGCGGAGUGAGGGAGGGUUGAGGGAGUAGUGGGUGUGUCCGAGAUGAAGGGUGAGGUUGACGUUUGUUGUUUUUUGAGCUUAGUUGUGAGACAAGCUUUGAGAAGGAGCAAGCGGCUUUAGCAUUCGUUCUCUCCCCACAGCAAACCCCCUCCGCCCCCAUGCUAAACCCCCCCCAGGCACCAUCGAACAAGUGUCCUCGGCUCAGACAAGGUUACCCGCUGGAUUUAAGCAUAUUAUUAAGCGGAGGAAAAGAAACUAACAAGGAUCCCUCAGUAAUGGCGAAUGAAGCGGGGCAGAGUCCAAGCCUGGAACCGGUGGCAACAGCGGAUUGUGGCUUUGAGGCUGGCGUUGCUGAGCGGCACGUGACCACCCCGGCACAAGUUCUUUGGAACAAGACAUCAGAGAGGGUGAGAAUCCCGUGGAUGGGCGGGGAGGAGUGGCGAUCAGGGGCCAGGCAAGCGAGUCGAGUUGUUUGGGAGUACAGCUCAAAGGCGGUGGUAAGGAGCAUCGAAGACUAAUAUGAGCGAGAGACCGAUAGCGGACAAGUACUGUGAAGGAAAGAUGAAAAGGACCCUGAAAGAGAGUUAAAGGACUUGAAAUUGUUGAAGGGAAGCGCUUGGUGGCGAGGAGCGGCCAGGCCUUGCGAGGCCUGGAGUUUAGCGCGUUGCGGGUGCGGGCUCUUGCGGCGAAGCGGCGAGCGGAACUCGACUGGUAGGUGGCCGGGCAACCGGGUGCUGGUACAGGGAGGUAGCUGGAGUCGUGGCCGGAAAGAGUGCGUGAUGAAGAGAGGCAGUGCCGGGCCGCAGGGAUGCGGCCGCAGAGUAGCAGAGGGCAGGGCAUGGAGGGCGUUUGAGGGUAGCCAGGGCUACGGGCCUGGCCAGCGUCAAGCGGUGGUUCCAUGGACUGGACUCUGCGAGUCUGGAGGCAGUGUCGAGCCCGUGGGGACUCGAGCGGGAUCGGAGUUGUUUUUAAAGACGUCGAGCUCGAGCGAGACUGGCGCGCCAUCAAUCGACCCGUCUUGAAACACGGACCAAGGAGUCUAUCAUGCUUGCGAGUGAGCUAGUGGCAAACUAGGGCAGUGCGUAAUGAAAGUGAAACCCGAGAAGUGCGAGUCGCUGCAUCGGGCCCGGGCGUCCGGCGUUGUUCGCAACAUUGAGGCGCGACGAGGGGAGCAGGCAUGGUGGGACCCGAAAGGCGGUGAUCUAUGCUUGUGAAGGGCGAAGUCGGAGGAAACUCCGAUGGAGGUCCGUCGCGGUUCUGACGUGCAAAUCGAUCGUUGAUGUGAGCAUAGGGCGAAAGACUCAUCGAACCGCCUAGUAGCUGGUUCCUUCUGAAGUUUCCCUCAGGAUAGCAGCGGCAUUUUUCAGUUUGUCUGGUAAAGCUAAUGAUUAGAGGCUCGGGGGCGCAAGGCCCUUCACCUAUUCUCAAACUUUAAAUGGGCAAGGACGCUGGCGCACUUGUUUGGCGGCAGCGGGAUGGAAUGGGUAGCCGUUAGUGGGCCAGUUUGGUAAGCAGAUCUGGCGAUGCGGGAUGAACCGAACGGCGGGUUAAAGUGCCUCAGUGGACGCUCAUGUAGAACCCAUGAAGGUGUUGGUUCAUUAAGACAGCAGGACGGUGGUCAUGGAAGUCGAAAGCCGCUAAGGAGUGUGUAACAACUCACCUGCCGAAUGGCCUAGCCCUGAAAAUGGAUGGCGCUCAAGCGACUCACUUAUACCCGGCCAACAACGCGGGCGUUGUUGAGUAAGAAGGCGUGGCGCUCGUGGAGAAGCUGUUACAGCCGUGAGGCGUAGUGGAACGGGCGGUAGUGCAGAUCUUGGUGUGAGUAGCAAGUAUUCAAGCGGAAGCCUUGAAGACCGAUGUGGAGAAGGGUUCCUCGGAAGCGCAUUGCGCCGAGGGUGAGGCGGACCUAAGGCUCUGCGGAGUUGCGAACGAGUGUCUUGCGGAAGCGAGGCUUGUCGAAAGGGAAGCAGGGAGAGUUCCUGCCCGCGCGCAGCGGAGGCCUCUUUUUAAGAGGGCGAUCCCGCCGAGGGAGCCGGCAACGGAGUUUGAAAGACGUACCCUUUGCUGCCGAUGGCGUGAGACCCGGGCAGAGAUUUCUUCUCUGGUCAAGAGCCCUCAGCCCCGGAAACGGUUUGGCCGGAGAGGAGGGGUGAUUGGGCUCGUGCAGGGGGAGAAGCGUUUCUUUCCCCCUCCGGGGAGCUCGCGACGUCCCUUGAAGAGGCAAAGGGUUUGAGGGCCUGGCAACAGAGCGCCUCGACCUGGGCGCGCGCCGUACCGAUAACCGCAACAGGUCUCCAAGGUGAGGAGCCUCUGGUUGAUAGAAGAAUGUAGGCGAGGGAAGUCGGCAAACUGGAUCCGUAACUUUGGAAAGGAUUGGCUCUGCGGGUGCGCGGGAGGCAUUCUGGGCUUGUUCUGGUAGGACUUUUUUGUCAGUCGUGAGUCGGGCUUGGCGCAAGCCGAGGGCGAUUGAUGAGCUGAGGAGGGCUCGGCCAGGGGUAGUUUAGAGUUUGUCCCCGCAAUUUACUUGCACCAACGCAGAACUGGUACGGACAAGGGGAAUCCGACUGUUUAAUUAAAACAAAGCGAACCGAUGGCCGGAAAUGGUGUUGACGGUUCGUGAUUUCUGCCCGGUGCUCUGAAUGUCAAUGUGAAGAGAUUCAAGCAAGCGCGGGUUAACGGCGGGAGUAACUAUGACUCUCUUAAGGUAGCCAAAUGCCUCGUCAUCUAAUUAGUGACGCGCAUGAAUGGAUUAACGAGAUUCCCACUGUCCCCGUGUACUAUCUAGCGAAACCACAGCCAAGGGAACGGGCUUGGCACAAUCGGCGGGAAAGAAGACCCUGUUGAGCUUGACUCUAUUCUGACUUUGUGAAAUGAUUCAUCGGGUGUAGGAUAGGUGGGAGGCGCUUGCGCCGGCCGUGAAAUACCACCACCGGUGCCAUCGUUUCGCUUAUUCGGUGAGGUGUGGGCGGGCGCGGAAGCGACCCGUUCUUGAGCAAAGCAGUCAGCGCAAGCUGGUUGUUGACGCAGUCCGAAGACAUAGUCAGGUGGGGAGUUUGGCUGGGGCGGCACACCUGUUAAAGGCUAACACAGGUGUCCUAAGAUGAGCUCAGAGCGGACGGAAACCUCUCGUAGAACAAAGGGUAAAAGCUCGUUUGACUGGGCUCCUCAGUACCGAGUCCAGCUGCGAAAGCAUGGCCUAUCGAUCCUGCGACCCUGAUUGACAACGCUCCUUGUUGGCGCAGGUGCCAGAAAGUUACCACAGGGAUAACUGGCUUGUGGCAGCCAAGCGUUCAUAGCGACGUUGCUUUUGAUUCUUCGAUGUCGGCUCUUCCUAUCAUUGUGAAGCAGAAUUCACCAAGCGUCGGAUUGUUCACCCGCAAAUAGGGAACGUGAGCUGGGUUUAGACCGUCGUGAGACAGGUUAGUUUACCCUACCGAUGGAGCGUUAUUGGGCAAGUAGAGCAACUCAGUACGAGAGGAACCGUUGUUCGACAGAAUUGGUCUUGCGGUUGGUCGAGGGCCACGCCGCGCAGCUACCCUGUCUAGGAUUACGGCUGAACGCCUCUAAGCCGGAAACCAUGCUUAGG